rnacentral:rRNA from 1 species
UUGAACGCUGGCGGCAGGCCUAACACAUGCACGUCGAACGGUAACAGGAAGCAGCUUGCUGCUUCGCUGACGAGUGGCGGACGGGUGAGUAAUGUCUGGGAAGCUGCCUGAUGGAGGGGGAUAACUACUGGAAACGGUAGCUAAUACCGCAUAAUGUCGCAAGACCAAAGAGGGGGACCUUCGGGCCUCUUGCCAUCGGAUGUGCCCAGAUGGGAUUAGCUUGUUGGUGGGGUAACGGCUCACCAAGGCGACGAUCCCUAGCUGGUCUGAGAGGAUGACCAGCCACACUGGGACUGAGACACGGUCCAGACUCCUACGGGAGGCAGCAGUGGGGAAUAUUGCACAAUGGGCGCAAGCCUGAUGCAGCCAUGCCGCGUGUAUGAAGAAGGCCUUCGGGUUGUAAAGUACUUUUAGCGGGGAGGAAGGGAGUAAAGUUAAUACCUUUGCUCGUUGACGUUACCCGCAGAAGAAGCACCGGCUAACUCCGUG